CAUACACAGCACUCUCACACACAUCAUACACAGCACUCUCACACAUCACACUCUGCAUUCUCACACACAUCAUACACAGCACUCUCACACUCAGCACUCUCACACACAUCACACUCUGCACUCUCACACACAUCAUACACAGCACUCUCACACACAUCAUACACAGCACUCUCACACAUCACAAUCAGCACUCUCACACACAUCACACACAGCACUCUCACACA